GACGAACGCUGGCGGCGUGCCUAAUACAUGCAAGUAGAACGCUGAAGAGAGGAGCUUGCUCUUCUUGGAUGAGUUGCGAACGGGUGAGUAACGCGUAGGUAACCUGCCUUGUAGCGGGGGAUAACUAUUGGAAACGAUAGCUAAUACCGCAUAACAAUGGAUGACACAUGUCAUUUAUUUGAAAGGGGCAAUUGCUCCACUACAAGAUGGACCUGCGUUGUAUUAGCUAGUAGGUGAGGUAAUGGCUCACCUAGGCGACGAUACAUAGCCGACCUGAGAGGGUGAGCGGCCACACUGGGACUGGGACACGGCCCAGACUCCUACGGGAGGCAGCAGGAGGGAAUCUUCGGCAAGGGGGGCAACCCUGACCGAGCAACGCCGCGGGAGGGAAGAAGGUUUUCGGAUCGUAAAGCUCGGUUGUAAGUCAAGAACGGGUGUGAGAGUGGAAAGUUCACACUGUGACGGUAGCUUACCAGAAAGGGACGGCUAACCACGUG
rnacentral:rRNA from 1 species